UACGGAGGGUGCAAGCGUUAUCCGGAUUUAUUGGGUUUAAAGGGUCCGUAGGCGGAUCUGUAAGUCAGUGGUGAAAUCUCAUAGCUUAACUAUGAAACUGCCAUUGAUACUGCAGGUCUUGAGUAAAGUAGAAGUGGCUGGAAUAAGUAGUGUAGCGGUGAAAUGCAUAGAUAUUACUUAGAACACCAAUUGCGAAGGCAGGUCACUAUGUUUAACUGACGCUGAUGGACGAAAGCGUGGGGAGCGAAACAGG
rnacentral:rRNA from 1 species